rnacentral:rRNA from 1 species
CCUGGCUCAGAACGAACGCUGGCGGUAUGCUUAACACAUGCAAGUCGAACGCGAAAGUCUCUUCGGAGGCGAGUAGAGUGGCGCACGGGUGAGUAACACGUAGAUAACCUGCCCCUUAGUCUGGGACAACCUUCUGAAAAGAGGGCUAAUACCGGAUAAUACUUUUAGCCAUACGGUUUUAAGUUGAAAGAUUUAUCGCUGGGGGAUGGGUCUGCGCACCAUUAGCUUGUUGGUGAGGUAACGGCUCACCAAGGCGACGAUGGUUAGCGGGUCUGAGAGGAUGGUCCGCCACACUGGAACUGAGACACGGUCCAGACUCCUACGGGAGGCAGCAGUGGGGAAUUUUGCGCAAUGGGCUAAGGCCUGACGCAGCAAUACCGCGUGAGUGAAGAAGGCCCUUGGGUCGUAAAGCUCUUUUUUUCAGGGAAGAUAAUGACGGUACCUGAAGAAUAAGCACCGGCUAACUCCGUGCCAGCAGCCGCGGUAAUACGGAGGGUGCAAGCGUUGUUCGGAUUUACUGGGCGUAAAGGGCGUGUAGGCGGCUUAGAAAGCUAAGGGUGAAAUCCCGGGGCUAAACCCCGGAACUGCUCUUUGAACUGCUAAGCUAGAGAUGGUCAGAGGCAAGUGGAAUUCCUGGUGUAGAGGUGAAAUUCGUAGAUAUCAGGAGGAACACCGGUGGCGAAGGCGGCUUGCUGGGGCCAUUCUGACGCUGAGGCGCGAAAGCGUGGGGAGCAAACAGGAUUUUAGAUACCCUGGUAGUCCACGCUGUAAACGAUGAGUACCAGCUGUUUGGGGAAUCGAUCCCCCAAGUGGCGCAGCUAACGCGAUGAGUACUCCGCCUGGGAACUACGGUCGCAAGACUAAAACUCAAAGGAAUUGACGGGGACCCGCACAAGCGGUGGAGCAUGUGGUUUAAUUCGAAGCAACGCGCAGAACCUUACCAGGGUUUGACAUCCCGUGACCGCUCCAGAGAUGGAGUUUUCUCUUCGGAGACACGGUGACAGGUGCUGCAUGGCUGUCGUCAGCUCGUGUCGUGAGAUGUUGGGUUAAGUCCCGCAACGAGCGCAACCCUUAUCCUUAGUUGCCAGCGAGUAAUGUCGGGAACUCUAGGGAGACUGCCUGUGUCAAGCAGGAGGAAGGUGGGGAUGACGUCAAGUCCUCAUGGCCUUUAUAUCCUGGGCUACACACGUGCUACAAUGGCAAUUACAAAGAGCAGCCAACUCGCAAGAGUGAGCUAAUCUCCUAAAGCUUAUCUCAGUCCGGAUUGGAGUCUGCAACUCGAGUGCAUGAAGUUGGAAUCGCUAGUAAUCGCGGCUCAGAAUGCCGCGGUGAAUCCGUUCCCGGGCCUUGUACACACCGCCCGUCACACCAUGAGAGUUGAUAUUGGCAGAAAACGUUGAGCUAACCCUUUAAGGGAGGCAGGUGUUUAAGCUAGUGAUGAUGACUGGGGUGAAGUCGUAACA